rnacentral:rRNA from 1 species
GAUGAACGCUGGCGGCGUGCCUAAUACAUGCAAGUCGAGCGAACAGACGAGGAGCUUGCUCCUUUGACGUUAGCGGCGGACGGGUGAGUAACACGUGGGUAACCUACCUAUAAGACUGGGAUAACUUCGGGAAACCGGAGCUAAUACCGGAUAAUAUUUCGAACCGCAUGGUUCGAUAGUGAAAGAUGGCUCUGCUAUCACUUAUAGAUGGACCUGCGCCGUAUUAGCUAGUUGGUAAGGUAACGGCUUACCAAGGCAACGAUACGUAGCCGACCUGAGAGGGUGAUCGGCCACACUGGAACUGAGACACGGUCCAGACUCCUACGGGAGGCAGCAGUAGGGAAUCUUCCGCAAUGGGCGAAAGCCUGACGGAGCAACGCCGCGUGAGUGAUGAAGGUCUUCGGAUCGUAAAACUCUGUUAUUAGGGAGGAACAAACGUGUAAGUAACUGUGCACGUCUUGACGGUACCUAAUCAGAAAGCCACGGCUAACUACGUG